UCAAUCAUCUUCCCGCGCAGCCCCUUCUCUGUUUUCUGUGCUCCUCCGAGCUCGCUGUUUGUCCAGGUUUUUUACGUUUUAAUUUCCAGGACUUGAACUGCCAUGUCCUCUGAAGAAGGAAAGCUCUUCGUGGGAGGGCUCAACUUUAACACCGACGAGCAGGCACUGGAAGACCACUUCAGCAGUUUCAGACCUAUCUCUGAGGUCGUCGUUGUCAAGGACCGGGAGACUCAGCAGUCCAGGGGUUUUGGUUUCAUCACCUUCACCAACCCAGAGCCUGCUUCAGUUGCCAUGAGAGCCAUGAACGGAGAGUCUCUGGAUGGUCGUCAGAUCCGUGUGGAUCAUGCAGGCAAGUCUGCUCGGGGAACCAGAGGAGGUGGCUUUGGGGCCCAUGGGCGUGGUCGCAGCUACUCCAGAGGUGGUGGGGACCAGGGCUAUGGGAGUGGCAGGUAUUAUGACAGUCGACCUGGAGGGUAUGGAUAUGGAUAUGGACGUUCCAGAGACUAUAAUGGCAGAAACCAGGGUGGUUAUGACCACUACUCAGGAGGAAAUUACAGAGACAAUUAUGACAACUGAAAUGAGACAUGCACAUAAUGUAGAUACACAAGGAAUAAUUUCUGAUCCAGGAUCGUCCUUCCAAAUGGCUGUAUUUAUAAAGGUUUUUGGAGCUGCACUGAAGCAUCUUAUUUUAUAGUAUAUCAACCUUUUGUUUUUAAAUUGACCUUCCAAGGUAGCUGAAGACAUUUUAGACAGUUCCAUCUUUUUUUAAAUUUUUUCUGCCUAUUUAAAGACAAAUUAUGGGACGUUUGUAGAACCUGAGUAUUUUUCUUCUUACCAGUUUUUUAGUUUGAGCUCUUAGGAUUAUUGGAGCUAGCAAUAAUUGGUUCUGGCAAGUUUGGCCAGACUGACUUCAAAAAAUUAAUGUGUAACCAGGGACAUUUUAAAAACCUGUACACAGUGUUUAUUGUGGUUAGGAAGCAAUUUUCCAAAUGUACCUAUAAGAAAUGUGCAUCAAGCCAGCCUGACCAACAUGGUGAAACCCCAUCUGUACUAAACAUAAAAAAAUUAGCUGGGCGUGGUGGUGCAUGUCUGCAAUCCCAGCUACUCAGGAGGCUGAGGCAGGAGAAUCGCUUGAAGCCGGGAGGUGGAGGUUGCAGUGAGCCAAGAUCACGCCACUGUACUCCAGCCUGGGCAACAGCGAGACUCCAUCUCAAAAAAAAAGAAAAAAGGAAAUGUGUAUCAAGAACAUGAUUAUCCAGGGGUAUUUUCUAAUUCAGAUCAUCAAACUGAUUAUAUAGAAGAGUUGGCUUUAAAAUGUUUGCAAAUGUCUUUUUUUUUUUUAAUACUGGAAGAAAAAAUAUUCUGUUGUGUCUCAUACAGUGAUUAGGAUGUCUUUCACAGAGCUUAUUAAAAAGAUGAAACCUGAAAAACAAAACAAAACAAAACAAAAACAAAAAACAAAAA